UGGGGAAUAUUGGACAAUGGGGGGAACCCUGAUCCAGCCAUGCCGCGUGUGUGAAGAAGGCCUUAUGGUUGUAAAGCACUUUAAGCGAGGAGGAGGCUACUGAGACUAAUACUCUUGGAUAGUGGACGUUACUCGCAGAAUAAGCACCGGCUAACUCUGUGCCAGCAGCCGCGGUAAUACAGAGGGUGCGAGCGUUAAUCGGAUUUACUGGGCGUAAAGCGUGCGUAGGCGGCUUUUUAAGUCGGAUGUGAAAUCCCCGAGCUUAACUUGGGAAUUGCAUUCGAUACUGGGAAGCUAGAGUAUGGGAGAGGAUGGUAGAAUUCCAGGUGUAGCGGUGAAAUGCGUAGAGAUCUGGAGGAAUACCGAUGGCGAAGGCAGCCAUCUGGCCUAAUACUGACGCUGAGGUACGAAAGCAUGGGGAGC
rnacentral:rRNA from 1 species